UUGCUCACUUCAGAAGCACAUAUAGUGAAACUGGAACAAUACAGAGAAGAUUAGCAUGGCUCCUAUACAAAGAUGACACACAGAUUCUUGGAGUUUUUCUUUUUUUAU
rfam:Otolemur garnettii contig164767, whole genome shotgun sequence.